rnacentral:rRNA from 1 species
UACGUAGGCAGCAAGCGUUGUUCGGAGUUACUGGGCGUAAAGGGUGUGUAGGCGGUUGUUUAAGUUUGGUGUGAAAUCUCCCGGCUCAACUGGGAGGGUGCGCCGAAUACUGAAUGACUUGGAGUGCGGGAGACGAAAGUGGAAUUCCUGGUGUAGCGGUGAAAUGCGUAGAUAUCAGGAGGAACACCGGUGGUGUAGACGGCUUUCUGGACCGUAACUGACGCUGAGACACGAAAGCGUGGGUAGCAAACAGG